rnacentral:rRNA from 1 species
CCUACGGGGGGCAGCAGUGAGGAAUAUUGGUCAAUGGGCGGAAGCCUGAACCAGCCAAGUAGCGUGCGGGAUGAAGGCCCUACGGGUCGUAAACCGCUUUUGCACGGGGAUAACACCCUCCACGUGUGGAGGUCUGCAGGUACCGUGCGAAUAAGGGCCGGCUAAUUCCGUGCCAGCAGCCGCGGUAAUACGGAGGGAGCAAGCGUUAUCCGGAUUCAUUGGGCUUAAAGGGUGCGUAGGCGGGACUGCAAGUCAGGUGUGAAAACCGCGGGCUCAACCCGUGGCCUGCAUUUGAAACUGUAGUUCUUGAGUACUCGAGAGGCAGACGGAAUGCCUAGUGUAGCGGUGAAAUGCAUAGAUAUUGGGAAGAACACCAGUGGCGAAGGCAGUCUGCUGG